GUGGGGUAAAGGCCUACCAAGGCGACGAUCCGUAACUGGUCUGAGAGGAUGAUCAGUCACACUGGAACUGAGACACGGUCCAGACUCCUACGGGAGGCAGCAGUGGGGAAUAUUGGACAAUGGGCGAAAGCCUGAUCCAGCCAUGCCGCGUGUGUGAAGAAGGUCUUCGGAUUGUAAAGCACUUUAAGUUGGGAGGAAGGGCAGUAAGUUAAUACCUUGCUGUUUUGACGUUACCAACAGAAUAAGCACCGGCUAACUUCGUGCCAGCAGCC
rnacentral:rRNA from 1 species